rnacentral:rRNA from 1 species
UACGUAGGCAGCAAGCGUUGUUCGGAGUUACUGGGCGUAAAGGGUGUGUAGGCGGUUGGUUAAGUGUGGGGUGAAAUCUCCCGGCUUAACUGGGAGGGUGCGCUACAAACUGUCUGACUAGAGUGUGGGAUGGGAGAGUGGAAUUCCUGGUGUAGCGGUGAAAUGCGUAGAUAUCAGGAGGAACACCGGUGGUGUAGACGGCUCUCUGGACCAUAACUGACGCUGAGACACGAAAGCGUGGGGAGCAAACAGG